rnacentral:rRNA from 1 species
UACGAGAGGCCCAAACGUUGUUCGGAAUUACUGGGCGUAAAGCGCACGUAGGCGGAUUUGUAAGUCAGGGGUGAAAUCCCGGGGCUCAACCUCGGAACUGCCUUUGAUACUGCAAAUCUCGAGUCCGGAAGAGGUGAGUGGAAUUCCUAGUGUAGAGGUGAAAUUCGUAGAUAUUAGGAAGAACACCAGUGGCGAAGGCGGCUCACUGGUCCGGUACUGACGCUGAGGUGGCGAAAGCGUGGGGAGCAAACAGGG